rnacentral:rRNA from 1 species
AUACGUAGGGUGCAAGCGUUAAUCGGAAUUACUGGGCGUAAAGCGUGCGCAGGCGGUUUUGUAAGACAGUGGUGAAAUCCCCGGGCUCAACCUGGGAACUGCCAUUGUGACUGCAAGGCUGGAGUGCGGCAGAGGGGGAUGGAAUUCCGCGUGUAGCAGUGAAAUGCGUAUAUAUGCGGAGGAACACGGAUGGCGAAGGCAAUCCACUGGGCCUGUACUGACGAUCAUGAACGAAAGCGUGGGGAGCAAACAGGAUUAGAUUCCCUGGUAGUCCACGCCAUGAUCGAUGUCAACUGGUUGUUGGGGAUUUAUUUUCUCAGUAACGAAGCUAACGCGUGAAGUUUACCGACUGGGGAGUACGGCCGCAAGGUUGAAACUCAAAGGAAUUGACGGGG